GGGUUGUGAGGUUAAGCGACUAAGCGUACACGGUGGAUGCCCUGGCAGUCAGAGGCGAUGAAGGGCGUGCUAAUCUGCGAUAAGCGCCGGUAAGGUGAUAUGAACCGUUAUAACCGGCGAUACCCGAAUGGGGAAACCCAGUGUGAUUCGUCACACUAUCAUUAACUGAAUCCAUAGGUUAAUGAGGCGAACCGGGGGAACUGAAACAUCUAAGUACCCCGAGGAAAAGAAAUCAACCGAGAUUCCCCCAGUAGCGGCGAGCGAACGGGGAGGAGCCCAGAGCCUGAAUCAGCAUGUGUGUUAGUGGAAGCGUCUGGAAAGGCGCGCGAUACAGGGUGACAGCCCCGUACACAAAAGCGCAUGUGCUGUGAGCUCGAUGAGUAGGGCGGGACACGUGGUAUCCUGUCUGAAUAUGGGGGGACCAUCCUCCAAGGCUAAAUACUCCUGACUGACCGAUAGUGAACCAGUACCGUGAGGGAAAGGCGAAAAGAACCCCGGCGAGGGGAGUGAAAAAGAACCUGAAACCGUGUACGUACAAGCAGUGGGAGCACCCUUCGGGGUGUGACUGCGUACCUUUUGUAUAAUGGGUCAGCGACUUAUAUUCUGUAGCAAGGUUAACCGAAUAGGGGAGCCGGAGGGAAACCGAGUCUUAACCGGGCGUUAAGUUGCAGGGUAUAGACCCGAAACCCGGUGAUCUAGCCAUGGGCAGGUUGAAGGUUGGGUAACACUAACUGGAGGACCGAACCGACUAAUGUUGAAAAAUUAGCGGAUGACCUGUGGCUGGGGGUGAAAGGCCAAUCAAACCGGGAGAUAGCUGGUUCUCCCCGAAAGCUAUUUAGGUAGCGCCUCGUGAAUUCAUCUCCGGGGGUAGAGCACUGUUUCGGCUAGGGGGCCAUCCCGGCUUACCAACCCGAUGCAAACUGCGAAUACCGGAGAAUGUUAUCACGGGAGACACACGGCGGGUGCUAACGUCCGUCGUGAAGAGGGAAACAACCCAGACCGCCAGCUAAGGUCCCAAAGUCAUGGUUAAGUGGGAAACGAUGUGGGAAGGCCCAGAC
rnacentral:rRNA from 1 species